rnacentral:rRNA from 1 species
UGGGGAAUUUUGGACAAUGGGCGCAAGCAUGAUCCAGCCACGCCGCGUGCAGGAUGAAGGCCUUCGGGUUGUAAACUGCUUUUGUACGGAACGAAAAGGUGCCUUCUAAUAAAGGGCGCUCAUGACGGUACCGUAAGACUAAGCACCGGCUAACUACGUGCCAGCAGCCGCGGUAAUACGUAGAGUGCGAGCGUUAAUCGGAAUUACUGGGAGUAAAGCGUGCGCAGGCGGUUUUGUAAGACAGAGGUGAAAUCCCCGGGAUCAACCUGGGAUCGGCCUUUGUGACUGCAAGGCUGGAGUGCGGCAGAGGGGGGUGGAAUUCCGCGUGUAGCAGUGAAAUGCGUAGAUAUGCGGAGGAACACCGAUGGCGAAGGCAAUCCCCUGGGCCUGCACUGACGCUCUUGCACGAAAGCGUGGGGAGCAAACA